rnacentral:lncRNA from 1 species
AUGCUAGAAAGCCCAAUCUUACUGAAACAUAUAUCACUUGUUGGUUUAUCCCUCUGUACUGGUACAGAUCUACUACUCACACCCCUCUCAGGAUCCCUCCCUCUGUACUGGUACAGAUCUACUACACCAGUCCUCUCAGGAUCCUCCCUCUGUACUGGUACAGAUCUACUAGUCACACCACUCCUCUCAGGAUCCCUCCCUCUGUUCUGGUACAGAUCUACUACACCCCUCCUCUCAGGAUCCCUCCCUCUGUUCUGGUACAGAUCUACUAGUCACACCACUCCUCUCAGGAUCCCUCCCUCUGUACUGGUACAGAUCUACUACUCACACCCCUCUCAGGAUCCCUCCCUCUGUACUGGUACAGAUCUACUACACCAGUCCUCUCAGGAUCCCUCCCUCUGUACUGGUACAGAUCUACUACACCAGUCCUCUCAGGAUCCCUCCCUCUGUUCUGGUACAGAUCUACUACACCACUCCUCUCAGGAUCCCUCCCUCUGUUCUGGUACAGAUCUACUACACCAGUCCUCUCAGGAUCCCUCCCUCUGUACUGGUACAGAUCUACUACACCAGUCCUCUCAGGAUCCCUCCCUCUGUUCUGGUACAGAUCUACUACACCACUCCUCUCAGGAUCCCUCCCUCUGUACUGGUACAGAUCUACUACACCAGUCCUCUCAGGAUCCCUCCCUCUGUACUGGUACAGAUCUACUACACCAGUCCUCUCAGGAUCCCUCCCUCUGUACUGGUACAGAUCUACUACACCAGUCCUCUCAGGAUCCCUCCCUCUGUACUGGUACAGAUCUACUACUCACACCCCUCCUCUCAGGAUCCAUCCCUCUGUUCUGGGUCAGAUCUACUACUACACCCCUCCUCUCAGGAUCCCUCCCUCUGUACUGGUACAGAUCUACUACACCAGUCCUCUCAGGAUCCCUCCCUCUGUACUGGUACAGAUCUACUACUCACACCACUCCUCUCAGGAUCCAUCCCUCUGUUCUGGUACAGAUCUACUACACCCCUCCUCUCAGGAUCCCUCCCUCUGUUCUGGUACAGAUCUACUAG